rnacentral:rRNA from 2 species
GGCGGCGUGCCUAAUACAUGCAAGUCGAGCGAACUGAUUAGAAGCUUGCUUCUAUGACGUUAGCGGCGGACGGGUGAGUAACACGUGGGCAACCUGCCUGUAAGACUGGGAUAACUUCGGGAAACCGAAGCUAAUACCGGAUAGGAUCUUCUCCUUCAUGGGAGAUGAUUGAAAGAUGGUUUCGGCUAUCACUUACAGAUGGGCCCGCGGUGCAUUAGCUAGUUGGUGAGGUAACGGCUCACCAAGGCAACGAUGCAUAGCCGACCUGAGAGGGUGAUCGGCCACACUGGGACUGAGACACGGCCCAGACUCCUACGGGAGGCAGCAGUAGGGAAUCUUCCGCAAUGGACGAAAGUCUGACGGAGCAACGCCGCGUGAGUGAUGAAGGCUUUCGGGUCGUAAAACUCUGUUGUUAGGGAAGAACAAGUACAAGAGUAACUGCUCGUACCUUGACGGUACCUAACCAGAAAGCCACGGCUAACUACGUGCCAGCAGCCGCGGUAAUACGUAGGUGGCAAGCGUUAUCCGGAAUUAUUGGGCGUAAAGCGCGCGCAGGCGGUUUCUUAAGUCUGAUGUGAAAGCCCACGGCUCAACCGUGGAGGGUCAUUGGAAACUGGGGAACUUGAGUGCAGAAGAGAAAAGCGGAAUUCCACGUGUAGCGGUGAAAUGCGUAGAGAUGUGGAGGAACACCAGUGGCGAAGGCGGCUUUUUGGUCUGUAACUGACGCUGAGGCGCGAAAGCGUGGGGAGCAAACAGGAUUAGAUAC